UACACCUCCCCACAAAAUGGGCGGGCUGAGCGAGCUCUACGCACGCUUAAUGACAUUGCACACGCCAUGCUCAUUCAUGCACACAUGCCCUACGCGUACUGGGCCGAGGCGCUCCUCACCGCGACAUUCCUCCUCAACCGUCAUCCAUGUCGACCACGCCAUGAUCGCACGCCCUUCUUUUUACUCUACGGAGUCCACCCCAACUACGACGCUCUGCGAGUAUUCGGGUGUCUGUGCUACCCAAACCUCAUCGCCACCUCCCCCCACAAAUUAGCCCCUCGCUCCGCCCCGUGCGUGCUCCUCGGCUACUCCACCGACCACAAAGGAUACAGAUGCUUGAACCGUGUGACCGGCCAUGUCAUCACAUCGCGCCAUGUUAUCUUCGACGAAGAUACCUUCCCUUUCCACAACAAACCAGCCCCCCCCCACCUCGCAUGA
rnacentral:rRNA from 1 species